rnacentral:rRNA from 1 species
AUGAACGCUGGCGGCGUGCCUAAUACAUGCACGUCGAGCGAACAGAUGAGGAGCUUGCUCCUCUGACGUUAGCGGCGGACGGGUGAGUAACACGUGGAUAACCUACCUAUAAGACUGGGAUAACUUCGGGAAACCGGAGCUAAUACCGGAUAAUAUAUUGAACCGCAUGGUUCAAUAGUGAAAGACGGUUUUGCUGUCACUUAUAGACGGAUCCGCGCCGCAUUAGCUAGUUGGUAAGGUAACGGCUUACCAAGGCAACGAUGCGUAGCCGACCUGAGAGGGUGAUCGGCCACACUGGAACUGAGACACGGUCCAGACUCCUACGGGAGGCAGCAGUAGGGAAUCUUCCGCAAUGGGCGAAAGCCUGACGGAGCAACGCCGCGUGAGUGAUGAAGGUCUUCGGAUCGUAAAACUCUGUUAUUAGGGAAGAACAAAUGUGUAAGUAACUAUGCACGUCUUGACGGUACCUAAUCAGAAAGCCACGGCUAACUACGUG